ensembl:lncRNA
GGCUCCGGGUGCACCUGUGGGCAGCUGAGGUGAAGCGGCAGGGCAGGGAGAUUGCCCAAGGGCAUGGAACAGGUCAGCCCAGAAGAGCAGGAGCCUGGCCUGGGAGAAAGCUUUAGAAGAAGAAGGUGUCGGUGGGCUGCGGUGCGAGCCGGGGUGUGGGUACAGGGUACACCUGCGGCCGCUCGGCUACAGGGGGCGGCUGCCGCUGGCUCCGAGUGACUUGGGAAACCCUGAGGCACGGCCUGCUGCCUCUGGGACUUGUGUUAACACAGAUCUGCACUGCAGUCUCAUUUACGUGUACGUGCCAAAGGUGGAUGUCAGUCCAUGUACUUCUUCAUGUACAUCCAUGUCAGAUGUACUUCUUCAGGAAGUACUCAGCUCUUGCCCGGCCCUAACACCUCUGAGGCAGAGGGGUAACAUCUGACACAUGUGCUCUGUCUAACCUUCAGUGAACUCAGCAGACCAAUGGUCUCAUGGAAAAGC